rnacentral:rRNA from 1 species
UACGUAGGGGGCUAGCGUUGUCCGGAAUCAUUGGGCGUAAAGAGCGUGUAGGCGGUCCGGUAAGUCCGCUGUGAAAGUCGGGGGCUCAACCCUCGAAUGCCGGUGGAUACUGCCGGGCUAGAGUCCGGAAGAGGCGAGUGGAACUCCUGGUGUAGCGGUGGAAUGCGCAGAUAUCAGGAAGAACACCAACGGCGAAGGCAGCUCGCUAGGACGGUACUGACGCUGAGACGCGAAAGCGUGGGGAGCGAACAGG